rnacentral:rRNA from 1 species
AUACGGAGGAUGCGAGCGUUAUCCGGAUUUAUUGGGUUUAAAGGGUGCGUAGGCUGUGCGUUAAGUCAGGGGUGAAAUGCCGUCGCUCAACGACGGAGCUGCCCUUGAUACUGGCGUGCUGGAGUACGGAUGCCGUUGGAGGAAUGAGUGGUGUAGCGGUGGAAUGCUUAGAUAUCACUCAGAACACCGAUUGCGAAGGCAUCUGACGAAUCCGUCACUGACGCUGAGGCACGAAAGCGUGGGGAUAGAACAGGAUUAGAUACCCUGGUAUUCCACGCCGUAAACGAUGAUGACUAACCGUCGGCGAUAGACAGCCGGUGGCCAAGCGAAAGCGAUAAGUCAUCCACCUGGGGAGUACGUCGGCAACGAUGAAACUCAAAGGAAUUGACGGGG